ensembl:lncRNA
CCUUACUUAUUUUCGCCGGAUCUGAAUUGGAACGUACUGCGUACUCAAAUUUUGGCUAGUAAGUACGGACAGUACAGGUAUUGGAACACGGCGGGGCGGGACUCUGCCCAAGUUUUCCCGCUUCUUCUCAGUUUGGGGCCGAAUCAACUGAACAAUAGAAUCUCGGAUCUCCAUUUUUGUGCCAUUCAAUUGCAUGUGGUGCUCGAGUGUGGAAGCCACCAACAGUCAGACAGGGGUCUCUACAACAGCCCAGUACGUCAGAUGCAGUUUCGGUACAG